UGGAGCCUGCGGUUUAAUCGGACUCAACGCCGGGAAACUCACCAGAUAAGACAGCUGAAUGAUAGUCGGGCUGAAGACUCUACUUGACUAGCUGAGAGGAGGUGCAUGGCCGUCGUCAGUUCGUACUGUGAAGCAUCCUGUUAAGUCAGGCAACGAGCGAGACCCACGCCAACAGUUGCCAGCUCGUCCUCCGGGAUGGUGGGGACACUGUUGGGACCGCCUCUGCUAAAGAGGAGGAAGGAAUGGGCAACGGUAGGUCAGCAUGCCCCGAAUUAUCUGGGCUACACGCGGGCUACAAUGGGUGGGACAAUGGGUAUCGACACCGAAAGGUGAAGGCAAUCUCCUAAACCCAUCCGUAGUUCGGAUUGUGGCUGCAGCUCGCCCACAUGAAGCUGGAAUCUGUAGUAAUCGUGUCUCAAAAUGGCACGGUGAAUAUGUCCCUGCUCCUU
rnacentral:rRNA from 1 species